rnacentral:lncRNA from 1 species
AAAAUUUUGAACCAACCGUUUUAUCAGAAAAAUUACACUGGUUAUAUAGCAGUUUGACAAACACUUAUUUUGAUCAUUGAGAAGCUUAAUAUCCCUUUAACUACACAACGUAAUUAAAAUGUUUAGCUGAUUUUAAAGAGUUAUCUCCCUGUAGUGUUAGGUACCACCUUAAUUGAUUAAAUAUCACAGGGAACAACACUGCUUCUUAUAAAAAAGACACAUUAUAUUUCAAUUGAAAUUUUUUUGGUCCGUUUAAAAGUGUCAAUGUUGAAUUACCAGGUUAUGUUAAACUGGAUGGGUAUUAUAUUAAACAUACUACAACUGAAGCUUGCAUGCGGUUUUAUGCUAUUUUUUUAACUUUAUGUUGAAAUAUCAUUGGUGAUUUUAUUGAAAUUGUUAAAGAAAAAGAUGUCAUAUCAUGCAAUGUCAGGGAGGAGAUUAUUUUUCUAUGCUCAGAUCAGGGAUAUUUUGAUUAUAAUCUGUAACUUCCGUAACAAUAUUGAAUAAUUGUGUAUUUGUAUAAAGUUAUGAUUUUUUUUUAACAACACCAGUAUUAAUAUUAUUGUUUUGAUUUGAAUAAUGUUAAUUGCAUUACUGUUAAUUAGAUUAAGCAUUUUCUACUCAUUAACUUUCCAGUCCAAGGAUGUCCAAUCAAAUCAUAUGUAGUAUUGUAUGAGGUAAGCAAUACCAAAAUUCUAUGUAAAGGCUAGUGGUUUCAGUUAAAAAAAAAUCAAGACUUUCUUGCGACUCGAGGUAAUGACAAUCUAAAAUCACCAUCACACAUUAGAUAAAGUGAUCACUAAAACUUAUUUUAGUUUGUGCACUGUACACUGUACAUGUAUCUGUAUUGAUCAAUGUACUGUACAUGCAAGGUUUGUUAAAGUAAACAAAAUGAUUGUCCAAUCUAUAGGUAGUACAUGAUUGCUCUGACUCCUUUUUUGUAACAUACUUGUAGCAAUCUUUGACUACUCCAUACCGGAGGCCAAAGCUGAAAUUUAGCAAAAUCUAACUGAACUGUAUGGUACUAUGGAUCUAAUCAUUUGUUGCCGAUAUCAACUUUUCUGUAUUGAGGCAAAAAUUCAUUUGGAUGAAUAUAUGAUUUUAAAUGACUUUAACAAAUUCUGCAUACUAACUAUCAAAUGAAAUUUGUAUUUACUUAAGCACUUAUGGUCAAGGAACAGUAAAUUCGUUUUUUAAGAAAAAAUGAUGCGUUUAUAAUUGAAGAUUUGAUGAUUUUAUGGCAAAUUAUUAUGAACUAUUUUCUCUCAGUGUUCUCAGAUUUUAUGUACUUUCAAAAUACAAAUGUCCUCCUGUUUUGAUAAAAUCAUACAAUAAUAUUUGAGAAAACGAGAAAUAUAAAAUGCAUUUUUCUUCUGUUUGUAGGUAUACUUCAGCAAGACCAAAUUUUAUGCAAAAUGUUACUAAAAUCUGUGACAUCCUGUUUACUUACUAUACCAUAAUUUGUUCAUCUUUUCAUAGAGAAUUCACGAUUUCUAGUACUGUUAAGGUGGUACCUAACACUACAGGGAGAUAACUCCGUAAAAUCAGCUAAACGUUUUAAUUACGUUGUGUUGUUAAGGGAAUAUUAAGCUUCUCAAUGAUCAAAAUAAGUGUUUGUCAAACUGCUAUAUAACCAGUGUAAAUUUUUCCGAUAAAACGGUUGGUUCAAAUUUUUUGAAAUUUUUAUAUUUUUGUCAAAGGGUCAACAUGGUCAAAGUGAAUACUUUGUCAAAAUUUUAUGAAAAUUAAACGAGCCAAAUUGAUUUUAGUGAAAGUGUUGGGUACCACCUUAAUUCAGAAAUUAUUGGGUGCAUUUAGAAGACUGGACAAAAAUGAGAGAUUAAUUAUUGUAAUUUCAGGAAAAUCUGCACACACUUAUAUCAUGUAUAUGUAUCUGCCUUAUGGACGUGAGUUCUUAUUAUUGCAAAAAAUCAACAUGUCUUGUUAUUUGCAUUUUUAAAAACUUCACAAUCAAUUCUGAAUUUACAGUAUUCCCAUCAGUGAUUAUGACUAACAUUAUUUACUGUGUAUUUGUAUCAUGAAUGUAGAUUCGACUACUGCAGCCAAUCAAUCUCAUUAAAAUACAGAUCCUGUGUCCCAGUUUUGUUUAUUAGGAUCUGACAACACUCUUAUUCUUUCUUAAUUUUGGGUCCUCAAUGCUAUUCAACUGCAUGCUUUAUUUGGCUUUUUUAAUUUUUCUUUGUUUCAAGCGUCGACGAUGAGUCUUUUGAAAUUUGGGCUCUGUUAAUUAUUACAUCAGCCAAUAAAAUUUCAGCCUUCAAAUUUUUGAAAUUGUGAUUUAUUUCGACAAAACCAGAAAAUUUUGAAAAAUCUUCAAAAACAGAAAUUACUUCUGGUCCUUGUAAUCAAAGAGUAGACUUAUGAUCUGUAUUUUAAUCAAAGUGGCGGUCAAUUGGUUUCAACAGAUCCCAGUUAAUGUGGAUUGUCAAUUUUAUAACAGACGCUUUGCCAAGCAUUGUCAUUGUUUGAAAAUUGUAAUGCAGAGAGUUGAGAGUUGUUUUAAUCCAUGUUAAGAUAUGGUAGACUUAUUUACUUUUAAUUUAAUGACUUUUAUGGAACAUGUCACCAAAUGUAAAUGUUCUGAAGAUCUGCAAUAAAUGUUUCUUUUCAUGCAAAGCAUGAUGAUUUCAGAAUUUGUCAUUUUAUUUAGCUCACCUGGCCCAAUAGUCUAAUAACUAGUCUACCAGUAAUCACUUGGCAUCUUUUCUUUAUAUAAGAAGGAAGUGCUUCAUUCUAAAAAUAUACGAACGGUCAAGGC